UACGUAGGGUGCAAGCGUUGUCCGGAUUUAUUGGGCGUAAAGCGCUCGCAGGUGGUUCAUUGCGUCGUGCGUGAAAGACCCCGGCUCAACUGGGGAGGGUCGUGCGAAACGGGUGAGCUAGAGGCCAGUAGGGGGAUGCGGAAUUCCGGGUGUAGUGGUGGAAUGCGUAGAGAUCCGGAGGAACACCAGCGGCGAAGGCGGCAUCCUGGACUGGUCCUGACACUCAGGAGCGAAAGCGUGGGGAGCGAUCCGG
rnacentral:rRNA from 1 species